CUACAGGGAAGCACCUUCCUUGCCUACCUCGUGACGUUGUGUCAUAAAUUCGCUUCUCCUACAGGCUAGGUCAGAAAAGGCCAAGCAGCUGCCACCGGUU